UGGGGGAAUAUUGGGCAAUGGGCGAAAGCCUGACCCAGCGACGCCGCGUGAAGGAAGAAGGUCUUCGGAUUGUAAACUUCUUUUAUUGGGGACGAAGAAAUGACGGUACCCAAUGAAUAAGCCACGGCUAACUACGUGCCAGCAGCCGCGGUAAUACGUAGGUGGCGAGCGUUAUCCGGAUUUACUGGGUGUAAAGGGUGUGUAGGCGGGACUGCAAGUCAGAAGUGAAAAUUAUGGGCUUAACUCAUAACUUGCUUUUGAAACUGUGGUUCUUGAGGGUCGGAGAGGCAAUCGGAAUUCCUAGUGUAGCGGUGAAAUGCGUAGAUAUUAGGAGGAACACCAGUGGCGAAGGCGGAUUGCUGGACGACAACUGACGGUGAGGCGCGAAAGCGUGGGGAGCAAACAGGAUUAGAUACCCUGGUAGU
rnacentral:rRNA from 1 species